rnacentral:rRNA from 1 species
UACGAAGGGGGCUAGCGUUGCUCGGAAUCACUGGGCGUAAAGGGUGCGUAGGCGGGUUAUUAAGUCAGAGGUGAAAUCCUGGAGCUCAACUCCAGAACUGCCUCUAAUACUGGCGAUCUAGAGUCCGGAAGAGGUGAGUGGAACUCCUAGUGUAGAGGUGGAAUUCGUAGAUAUUAGGAAGAACACCAGUGGCGAAGGCGGCUCACUGGUCCGGUACUGACGCUGAGGUGCGAAAGCGUGGGGAGCAAACAGG